rfam:Felis catus isolate Cinnamon breed Abyssinian chromosome E1, whole genome shotgun sequence.
GCCUGGGUGGCUCAGUCAGUCGAGCAUCUGGCUUCGGCUUAGGUCAUGAUCUCAUAGUUUGUGGGUUCGAGCCCUGCAUCAGGCU